rnacentral:lncRNA from 1 species
AUCAUGCAUGAUAAAUAUCUGAUCUAAUUAGAUCACAUCAUCAUGUGAUGUUUUAAAUAAAUUUGAGAUAAAUUUCAAAUCUAAAUCUACUUUUAUAUAGUAUAUAAAAAUUUUUUUAGAUCUACAAUCACAUAGAAAAAUAAUUUAAAUACACACAUAAAUGCAUAAAAAUAAAAUUAUGAUUAGACCUGAUUUUACGUUGUGCAGAAUUUUGUUUGAAAUCAGAUCUGAAAAUUUGUUAAAAUAGAUUCAAUUCAGAUCUUGAUUAUGCCUAACAUCCAA